UGUACCACCUUGUCGGGUAGCUUAUCAGACUGAUGUUGACUGUUGAAUCUCAUGGCAACAGCAGUCGAUGGGCUGUCUGACAUUUUGGUAUC
ensembl:miRNA Mir21a microRNA 21a